rnacentral:rRNA from 1 species
UUGUAUGACUCUCGGCAAUGGAUAUCUUGGCUCUUGCAUCGAUGAAGAGCGCAGCGAAAUGCGAUACGUGGUGUGAAUUGCAGAAUCCCGUGAACCAUCGAAUUUUUGAACGCAAGUUGCGCCCGAGGCCAAUUGGCUAAGGGCACGUCCGCCU